AUUUCAGGGCGACUUUGGGAACACAAUAGUCGACUCGCCGACGUUCCCUUAGACGCGUUGCCAUACGUCGUCACCCAUAGAAACGGCUUUCCGCGGGGCAGACUCCAAGUCUCGCCUGUGUGAGCGGGCAGGGGUAGCAGGAAAGGCUGUUUUUCAUUUCCAAGAGAAAACCGUCACCCCGCCCACCUCGAACCUCCUCCCAACAUCUCAGGAUAGAAACGCCGCGCUCAGGUGAAUGAGAAAUGUUCUGAUACAGGAAAGAGGAGUUCGUGUUUCUUUCAGAAGGUGACCGUUUUCCUCCUUCUGAGGUCACGAGCUGUCCGUCCGAUGCCCAGAAUUCCGAGGCCUGAUGUGGCGUGUUUCCGGUAGCUGGGCUCCUCGGAGAGCUGUGGGAAGAGGCGCGGGCGACCGGGGGCGUCAGCGAGCCCUGUCUUCGCCUGCCUUCGCCGGCGUGGACUCUUCCCAGUGCCCGUCUUCCCCCGCGAAGUAAUAGUGUCCUGUAUUUCCUGACUGUAAGAAGAAUAGUGCUUUUAAAAAAUGCCUGCUCCCUGUAAUAGCAGCAGUAGUUCGAGAGUACAUACAUGUUUAUAAAAGAAACUUAAACUCUCAUUCUUGCCACAGUGGAUAAUACUAUUAACAUAUUGCUACAUAAAUUUAGAAUUUUCAUACAUACACGUAAAGGUGUUUGGUUUUUUAAAACAGAAAAACGUAAGCGCGUUAUCUCCCAGUAAUGUCUUUGCAGGUAAAUUAAAAUAAUUACAUAUAUAUUUAUAUUUAUAUAUAUAUAUUUUUUCUAAGAGAUGGGGUUGUUGCCCAGGCUGGUCUUGACCUCCCGGGCUCAAGUGAUACUCCCACCUCAGGCUCCCAAAGUGCUGGGA
rnacentral:lncRNA from 1 species